CAUUAUCAAGAGGAUGGAGUAUGUCGCAAUUUAAAUCACCCAAGCAAAUUAUAUUUGGUCGGUUAUAUUUGGUCGGUUUGAAUUACCAACCAAUCCAAUCGGCUUCAACCCAAUUCAAACCAUCACCCGGGAGUUAGCCGUUAGCCGAUUAGGUCCAUUGGUGCGGUGAUCAAAGAUCGUCGAAGUUCAAAUACAUAGAAGUGCAUAUUCUUUUGUUCCUUUGAAACCAUAAUCUCUGAUGCGAGCGUGUAAACAAAAAGUCCAUCUAUAAAAGAAAUGCACUCAGUCGUCUCAUUGACAAAUAACAAGAUCCAUCGUGAGGUCGACUUGCAACAAGAUGAAGCUACUUGUGGUGGUUCUCUUUCUGGCUGUGCUCAGCGUAAGAGGGUUCAAUAAAGAAGAACGGCGAUUCCUUAAAGAGCUGUUAACACGACGUACUGAAAGCAAUGUUAUACAGGACGAGAUAUUGGACUGUGGUGUUUAUAAUUCCUUAACGACCGGCUGUUGCAAUGGAAAGCUUUUCAAUUUGGAGACUCAUGAAUGCUGUGGGAAAAGAAGAAUUGACAAAUCCAAGUAUGGAUGCUGCGAUGGUCACUACUUCUACAAGAAAACUAAAAAAUGUUGCGAUGGAGUUAUAAAAGGGACAUUUUUCAAGAAAACCUGCUGAAUAUCUUUUCUGAAAGCAGUAGUCUUUCCUAAUAUAUAUGGAGAAAACAUCACACUGCAGCUUUGAAUAAUAAAUCUUUUUUCAAUUUUGUCAGGCUGAGCCAAACCCUAAAAUCAAA